rnacentral:rRNA from 1 species
UACGUAGGGUGCGAGCGUUGUCCGGAAUUAUUGGGCGUAAAGAGCUCGUAGGCGGCUCGGUAAGUCAGGUGUGAAACCUCCAGGCUCAACCUGGAGACGCCACCUGAUACUGCCGUGGCUAGAGUCCGGUAGAGGAGCGUAGAAUUCCUGGUGUAGCGGUGAAAUGCGCAGAUAUCAGGAGGAAUACCAGCGGCGAAGGCGGCGCUCUGGGCCGGUACUGACGCUGAGGAGCGAAAGCGUGGGGAGCAAACAGG